GGAGAGGGCUAGCGUUAUUCGGAAUUAUUGGGCGUAAAGCGCACGCAGGCGGUCUGUCAAGUCGGAUGUGAAAUCCCCGGGCUUAACCUGGGAACUGCAUUCGAAACUGGCAGGCUGGAGUCGUGUAGAGGGGGGUAGAAUUCCAGGUGUAGCGGUGAAAUGCGUAGAGAUCUGGAGGAAUACCGGUGGCGAAGGCGGCCCCCUGGACAAAGACUGACGCUCAGGUGCGAAAGCGUGGGGAGCAAACAGGAUUAGAUACCCUGGUAGUCCACGCCGUAAACGAUGUCGACUUGGAGGUUGUUCCCUUGAGGAGUGGCUUCCGGAGCUAACGCGUUAAGUCGACCGCCUGGGGAGUACGGCCGCAAGGUUAAAACUCAAAUGAAUUGACGGGGGCCCGCACAAGCGGUGGAGCAUGUGGUUUAAUUCGAUGCAACGCGAAGAACCUUACCUACUCUUGACAUCCAGAGAACUUAGCAGAGAUGCUUUGGUGCCUUCGGGAACUCUGAGACAGGUGC
rnacentral:rRNA from 1 species